AGAGAAAUGAAGUGAGUAAAAAAGGGCACAAGGCAAUUUUCCCAUGAUGGAGAAGUUACUUAUCUUUAUCGGGGUUCAUGUUAUACAGUGCCCUGCCGUGAAGGAGUCACUGAGCCAGCUCGUUACCUGCCGGCAACAGCCGAGUUGUGGGUAGGCCUUCAGCUAUGGAGAGACUUUCUAUAAUUUUUAAAAAGACAUCGACUAAGAACAUGAACCUGACUUUUCCCUCAAUAAUCAAAGCAAUAAGAAUCAACAUCCCAAUUGGUGAAAACACAAUCCGUUCUCUGAAAAUCCAUUUUGUGUAGA